AAAGGCUCUUUCGGGAGCUGAGUAGAGUGGCAAACGGGUGAGUAACACGUGUGAAACUUUCCCAUGGGUUGGGGAUAACACUCCUAACGGGGUGCUAAUACCGAAUACGAUCGCCGAAUCGCAUGGUUUGGCGAUGAAAGGCGGCCUCUAUUUAUAAGCCGUCACCGAUGGAUGGUCACGCGUCCCAUUAGCUUGUUGGUAGGGUAACGGCCUACCAAGGCAAUGAUGGGUAGCCGGCCUUAGCGGGUGACCGGCCACACUGGGACUGAGAUACGGCCCAGACUCC
rnacentral:rRNA from 1 species